UAAUACGUAGGGAGCAAGCGUUGUCCGGAAUCAUUGGGCGUAAAGCGCGCGUAGGUGGCUCUAUAAGUCCGUUGUGAAAGUCAAAGGCUCAACCUUUGAAAGCCGAUGGAUACUGUAGAGCUAGAGUCCGGAAGAGGCGAGUGGAAUUCCUGGUGUAGCGGUGGAAUGCGCAGAUAUCAGGAGGAACACCAAUAGCGAAGGCAGCUCGCUGGGACGUGACUGACACUAAGGCGCGAAAGCGUGGGGAGCGAACAGGAUUAGAUACCCUGGUAGUCCACGCCGUAAACGAUGGGCAUUAGGUGUGGGAGGUGUCGACUCCUCCCGUGCCGUCGCUAACGCACUAAAUGCCCCGCCUGGGGAGUACGGCCGCAAGGCUA
rnacentral:rRNA from 1 species